GCCGACUCUACAAAACACUUCUGGCUGACAGACUGCUUUUUCUCUCUGGGCCGAUCUCGGCUGAAAGCUGUUGUACGUGCGGCAAGUCCGCACUCGUGUAGUUGUGUGUCUCUACCUUCGGCCCGAGUUGGUUUUGUCUCCGGCGGCAGCUGCUAGAAUGAAGAUCAGCCGCUGAGAGAGAGAUUUGGCGGUUAAUCCUGAGGAGAUUUCGGCGGGCACAGUUCUCAAGAGGAAUUAUCUUCAGCUGCAAACUGAAAUUCUGAGCUGCUGCAUGAACAUUCAUCAAACUUAUAAGGCUGCAAUUUGGAAAAAACUUUCAAG